rnacentral:rRNA from 2 species
CACGUAGGCACCAAGCGUUGUCCGGAUUUAUUGGGCGUAAAGAGCUCGUAGGCGGUUCAGUAAGUCGGGUGUGAAAACUCAGGGCUCAACCCUGAGCUGCCACCCGAUACUGCUGUGACUUGAGUCUGGUAGGGGAGUGGGGAAUUCCUGGUGUAGCGGUGAAAUGCGCAGAUAUCAGGAGGAACACCGGUGGCGAAGGCGCCACUCUGGGCCACGACUGACGCUGAGGAGCGAAAGCAUGGGUAGCAAACAGG